UACGUAGGGCGCAAGCGUUAUCCGGAAUUAUUGGGCGUAAAGAGCCCGUAGGCGGUGUGUCGCGUCGGCCGUGAAAACCUGCAGCUUAACUGUGGGCUUGCGGUCGAUACGGGCAUCACUGGAGUUCGGCAGGGGAGACUGGAAUUCCUGGUGUAGCGGUGAAAUGCGCAGAUAUCAGGAAGAACACCCGUGGCGAAGGCGGUUCUCUGGGACGGUACUGACGCUGAGACGCGAAAGCGUGGGGAGCAAACAGG
rnacentral:rRNA from 1 species